AAUAACAGCUGGACUCUUUAGGGGGGGGGGAACCUGCACGGUGCCAGGCGGUGUCAGUGCUGCCUCUGCUCCCACUGUCAGCCCUGCACGUCCCAGUGUAAAAGCCUUCCUGCCCCCAGCAAGCCAGCUUCAUAACGAGAGCAUCUGCAAGCACCUGGAGAUGCCACUGAGUGAGAGCCAAGAGAUGAAACUCCCCUUCCAGGGCCUUUUGCCUCGUGCUGCACCAGCACCGCUCCGCCGUGUGGCAUUCCUGCCAUCUCAGUCCCACCUCUGACGUCCAGGUGGAAGAAUGCUUUUCAGCUCCAGCUGCAGGUGCUCUCUUAGCACUUGCCUGCGACUUUUCGACCUUCCUCCCCCGCUGCUGCCGUUUGGGGCUGAGCAUAAAGCCGUGGCUGUGAAACCGCGGCGUUCUGACGUGGGAGAAUCUCUGUUCUGCCCUCCCCAGCCGUGCUGGGGUCAGAGCACGGCCCUGCAGUUGCAUCUUUCCCUGUGCAAAGCUGGAAGAGACGAAGGCACCGAGCGUUGGUCCAUCAGAACAGCAGCGUUGAUCCGUGCCGCUCUCUUUCAUUGAUACAUUGUGCGCUUCUCUGGUGGGGAACCACUUUGGGCACAACGUCUUCAACAACUGAAGCUCUUUAAUUCUUCCACCUCCUAUUAACAGAGCUCUUUCAGCCCUAAAUGUGUCCCGGGAAGCUACAGAAAGCUGUUUGCAGGUGGAGUAAGGCGGCAGGCAAAGCUUUCCCUCAACUUCAAGUGGAUCAGUUCCUUCCAGGGAAGGCAGCAGAGGGUGUGCAGAGCAUCCCUGUGAUCGGCCACGUGUGUCUGUGGGAUGCAUGGAGGUGAGAUGUAGAGGGGGGGGGACGCUUUGGAGCUGUGCUGGAUCUGUUUUUUCCAUGGGGCAAAGCUGUGUUCAACGCUGCUGAUGUGCACUGAGGUGCUUCAGUCCGUGUAAUUGGAGUGGCUGUGUCCGAGCUGUGCUUUUUAGGAGCCAUCCCUGUGUACCAAUGACAUCAGGGCUCCUCUUGUUUGGGUGUAAGGAGACUGAUAAGGGCUUUUGCUGUGUGUUCCUGAUCCAAGUGGAGCUCUUUGGAGACGAGAAGGCUCUGCCCAGCGAACUGAGCUGCACUGUGUGGAGCUGGAGGUGGAUGCUGCACUCAGCCCGGAUGGUGCUUAGGACCCCAGGUUGUCCUGUGGGCUGCAGUGGGGAUCCCACACCUUCCUGCCCCGCGUGGCUCCUGCAGGAUGGAGCCUGCAGAGAGAAACAAGCAGGAGAAAUACGUACAUAGAAACAAAUCUCAGAAAGGUGCCAGGCGACAGCUGCACAUCCCAGGAUUGGAGUGUGCCUGAGAAUAAAACCAUCGGUUGCUGUCAUUCACCCUCUGGGUAUGAAAUUGGAAGCCCAGUUACCCUUGAGUGUUUCAUAACCUUUACCUUUUGGAGGUCAAGGCCGUGUCAUCAUUAAUCUACCGUCGCCUGAAUGCCCCGGGGCUCUGCUUUUCAUCCCCCCCAUCCGUCAUGCUGCUGUGGGAUGCAGGAGGGUGAGCAGAAGGGCCCACGCUGUCCUCUCUGCAAGGAUGGGAGCGCAGAGGACGUCCUCGUGGAGCCUCGUGGCUCUCCGUCCCCAUUUGUGAUGAGGACUCUCUGGGCUUCACCUGAAGAUUCAGAACCGUUUCCUCCCCGGGAUGCUUUAAUCUGUUGAGGAAGAGGUGCUGUGGCCUCGAGGAGUGGAAGUUGGAUACAUGGAGCACCUCGUGCAUGUUGUUCCCCUCCCCAGAGCCAGGCUUCGUUGCUCCUCACACCUCCAAUGAGCCUCAUCUCGAAGCACACACGUGGAGCUGCUGCUGCUCAUCCACGUGCCUGCAGCCUGUGGGCAGUGGGGACCCAGUGAGAGGGUUUCCCCUCUGCUGAAAUUUGGGUGUUGGAGAAGAUUGGAGCUGAGCAUCUCCACGAAUCCCACUCCACCUCUGCUGGGACGCUGCUGGCAGCUCCAGCUCCCGUUGCAGGUAUCCAGCUGUGCUCCCUGCCCGGCGAUCUGCUCCAUCCACAGGGCAGCAGCGAGUGCCAGAGCUGCUCCCUGUGCCAUGGUAACCAUUAAUUAAUGCCUUUUGGCUUUAAGUCUUCCAGCAGCAGGGGCUGUGAUUCUCCCAGGAGAGAAGCGAGCCCAUUUUCAAGCAUUUCUUUCCAGCUUUUUGGGAACAAGGAGUGUAAGGACGAGCACUGACCCUGGGUUUAGCAGUGCUAAGGUCCAUCCUGGAGCUCUGCAGCCCCCACUGCCCCAUCUCUGCGCUCACCGGUUCCAGCUUGGGGGUCUGCAAUGAGACCCGGGGCUCAGGAUGGACACAGCCCUGAGCACAGCACAAAUAUUUGGGUUCUCCCUUCCUUCCUCUUCACCAGGGCUCAGCAGAGCCGUUCGCUUUGUCCUUGGCUCAAGCUCUCCUCCUCUUCCUCCCCCCCCCGCCCUCUUUUUUUAGACAAACUACAAAAUAACUGAGUGCAGAGGGACCGAGCCGAGGAAUAGAGAGGUUAGAAAAUAAAUCUGACACCCUGCCAGAAAGGUCAGCUUUCCCCACAGAUGCUGGUGCACCCAUUUGCACGCCGGAGCACGGCCUGGGGGCACUGCCAGGGGUUGAUAGAUACGGAGAUAGCAGCGUUUUGAUAGAGGUAAUUUUCCUCGGCUGGGUUUCAGCACCCCAUGAAUCAAAACCUGUCAGCGAGAAGCCAGAGAUGGAGUGAAGUUUAUUGUACGUGUGUUUGCAUCUGACACUGUUGUGCUAUGGGGUCAAGUGAGCCGGAUCAUUAGGGCCGUGUUGAUUUAGGACGAUGGUUGCACACUGCUUUCCCUGCGGGGCAGUGCUGGAAGCAGGGGGGGAUGUGGUGGGCUUCCCAAAAAGAAAAAAAAAGAAAGAAACCCCACACUGUCCAGCAGCCCCGUUAAAGCUGCAGCCCUUGGGUUGCCCUCCGUCUGUGGUGGGAAUGGCUUUUGGGAGCUGAUUUUGGUCCCGUGUGGCUGUGGAUGAGUGGGGAGGGUGCUGGGAUUGGGAGCAGGCUCUUCUUUGUAAAGAUUCUAUUUAGAAAUGGUGCCCUUGUGGGUUUCGUUCUGCCACGGCAUCACCUGCAGCAGUGGGAUGCGGCCGGGGGGGGGGCUGAGAGCUGCGAAGUGCCCUUAAUGAUAGGGGAAAUUGUAGCAGUGCUGCAAAGCAAUUAGGCAGCCUGGAGAAAUGGGCUGAAAGAGGCACGAAAACAGCCGGAGCCAGGAAUAAAUCCACAGAAAAUGGAUGCUCUGAGGCUUUUACAGGCGAUGAUGGCUUUGGCUAUUAGCUGUGAUCAGGACAUCAGCGUGGAUGAUGGCAGCAGAGGUAAAAAAAGCCUCCGGUUUUUGCUGGAGAAUGCUGAGAAACGGAGAGCUGAGGGCUCUGGGAAAUGUCUGCAGGGGUUUGCUGGAAAUUCAGUGUGUCUUAGGGGGUGGCCUUUCCUGCUCCAGCUCCUGGUGAUGGGUGAGGGGAGGGGGAAGUGGUUUGCCACCAAACGAACCCCCAGGGCUUUGUCCCCGGGAUUAAAUCUACUCCAUUCUCCGUGCCAGAGUGAAGAAGAUGAGAAACUGAAGAAGAGGAAGGAGCGGUUUGGCAUCGUGACGAGUUCAGCCGGGGCUGGAGCCACAGAGGACACAGAGGCAAAGAAGAGGAAAAGAGCAGAGCGCUUCGGGAUCGUCUGAUGCUGGCCCCUUCCAGCUGCACCCUUUGCAGGGUGCAUCCUGAGAGCCUGAAUCCUUCCCUCCUCCCCACUUCCUCUCACCUCUGUUCCUCGGGUUUUAGCGUUGAGUAGGUAGGGAACCCCCCAUAGUUGUAUGAUUGUGUUACUUAACUCUUUCAACUUACUAAGUUUAAAAAACAAAACAAAAACAAAACAAAAAAAACCAA